rnacentral:ncRNA from 15 species
CGGGGUGUGGCGCAGCUUGGUAGCGCGCUUCGUUCGGGACGAAGAGGUCGUGGGUUCAAAUCCCGCCACCCCGA